rfam:Ictidomys tridecemlineatus contig048232, whole genome shotgun sequence.
GUGGUUGUAGCUCAGUGUUAGAGCACUUGCCUCUCACGUGUGAGGUACUGGGUUCAAUCCUCAGCACCACA